UACAGAGGUCUCAAGCGUUGUUCGGAUUCAUUGGGCGUAAAGGGUGCGUAGGCGGGGAGGUAAGUCGGAUGUGAAAUCCCGGGGCUUAACCCCGGAACUGCAUUCGAUACUGCCUUGCUUGAGCACUGGAGAGGAGACUGGAAUUUACGGUGUAGCAGUGAAAUGCGUAGAUAUCGUAAGGAAGACCAGUGGCGAAGGCGAGUCUCUGGACAGUUGCUGACGCUGAGGCACGAAGGCCAGGGGAGCAAACGGG
rnacentral:rRNA from 1 species